AAAUAAGAAGUAAAUUACUACCUAGUUUCGACCUAGUAUUAGAUGUUCACUCAUCCUUAUUUU
rnacentral:tRNA from 2 species